rnacentral:rRNA from 1 species
CAUGCGCAGCUUAACAUGCAGUCGAACGGCAGCACGGGAGCAAUCCUGGUGGCGAGUGGCGAACGGGUGAGUAAUAUAUCGGAACGUGCCCAGUCGUGGGGGAUAACGCAGCGAAAGCUGUGCUAAUACCGCAUACGAUCUAUGGAUGAAAGCGGGGGAUCGCAAGACCUCGCGCGAUUGGAGCGGCCGAUAUCAGAUUAGCUAGUUGGUGGGGUAAAGGCCCACCAAGGCGACGAUCUGUAGCUGGUCUGAGAGGACGACCAGCCACACUGGAACUGAGACACGGUCCAGACUCCUACGGGAGGCAGCAGUGGGGAAUUUUGGACAAUGGGCGCAAGCCUGAUCCAGCAAUGCCGCGUGCAGGAUGAAGGCCUUCGGGUUGUAAACUGCUUUUGUACGGAACGAAACGGUCCUUUCUAAUACAAGGGGCUAAUGACGGUACCGUAAGAAUAAGCACCGGCUAACUACGUGCCAGCAGCCGCGGUAAUACGUAGGGUGCGAGCGUUAAUCGGAAUUACUGGGCGUAAAGCGUGCGCAGGCGGUUGUGUAAGACAGAUGUGAAAUCCCCGGGCUCAACCUGGGAACUGCAUUUGUGACUGCACAACUAGAGUGCGGCAGAGGGGGAUGGAAUUCCGCGUGUAGCAGUGAAAUGCGUAGAUAUGCGGAGGAACACCAAUGGCGAAGGCAAUCCCCUGGGCCUGCACUGACGCUCAUGCACGAAAGCGUGGGGAGCAAACAGGAUUAGAUACCCUGGUAGUCCACGCCCUAAACGAUGUCAACUGGUUGUUGGACGGCU